rnacentral:sRNA from 1 species
UGCCCUAGUAACGGCGAGUGAAGCGGCAUCAGCUCAAAUUUGAAAUCUGGCUCUUUCAGGGUCCGAGUUGUAAUUUGCAGAGGGCGCUUUGGCGUUGGCAGCGGUCCAAGUUCCUUGGAACAGGACGUCACAGAGGGUGAGAAUCCCGUACGUGGUCGCUGGCCUUCGCCGUGUAAAGCCCCUUCGACGAGUCGAGUUGUUUGGGAAUGCAGCUCUAAAUGGGAGGUAAAUUUCUUCUAAAGCUAAAUACUGGCCAGAGACCGAUAGCGCACAAGUAGAGUGAUCGAAAGAUGAAAAGCACUUUGGAAAGAGAGUCAAAUAGCACGUGAAAUUGUUGAAAGGGAAGCGCUUGCAGCCAGACUUGCCUGUAGUUGCUCAUCCGGGCUUUUGCCCGGUGCACUCUUCUGCGGGCAGGCCAGCAUCAGUCUGGGCGGUUGGAUAAAGGCCUCUGUCAUGUACCUCCUUUCGGGGAGGCCUUAUAGGGGAGGCGUAAUGCAACCAGCCUGGACUGAGGUCCGCGCAUCUGCUAGGAUGCUGGCGUAAUGGCUGUAAGCGGCCCGUCUUGAAACACGGACCAAGGAGUCUAACAUCUAUGCGAGUGUUUGGGUGUCAAGCCCGAGCGCGUAAUGAAAGUGAACGGAGGUGGGAUCCCUUUAGGGUGCACCAUCGACCGAUCCUGAUGUCUUCGGAUGGAUUUGAGUAAGAGCAUGGCUGUUGGGACCCGAAAGAUGGUGAACUAUGCUUGAAUAGGGUGAAGCCAGAGGAAACUCUGGUGGAGGCUCGCAGCGGUUCUGACGUGCAAAUCGAUCGUCAAAUU